CAGCAGCCGCGGGAAUACGAAGGGUGCAAGCGUUACUCGGAAUUACUGGGCGUAAAGCGUGCGUAGGCGGUGAGUUAAGUCUGCUGUGAAAUCCCCGGGCUCAACCUGGGAAUGGCAGUGGAUACUGGCUCGCUAGAGUGUGUCAGAGGAUGGUGGAAUUCCCGGUGUAGCGGUGAAAUGCGUAGAGAUCGGGAGGAACAUCAGUGGCGAAGGCGGCCAUCUGGGACAACACUGACGCUGAGGCACGAAAGCGUGGGGAGCAAACAGGAUUAGAUACCCGAGUAGUCCCUGUCUCUUAUAC
rnacentral:rRNA from 1 species